rnacentral:rRNA from 1 species
CAGCAGCCGCCACGGGAAUACGAAGGGUGCAAGCGUUAAUCGGAAUUACUGGGCGUAAAGUGUGCGCAGGCGGUUUUGUAAGACAGGCGUGAAAUCCCCGGGCUUAACCUGGGAACUGCGCUUGUGACUGCACAGCUAGGGUAUGGCAGAGGGGGGUGGAAUUCCGCGUGUAGCAGUGAAAUGCGUAGAUAUGCGGAGGAACACCGAUGGCGAAGGCAGCCCCCUGGGCCAACACUGACGCUCAUGCACGAAAGCGUGGGGAGCAAACAGGAUUAGAUACCCCCGUAGUCCCUGUCUCUUAUAC